CGGCGGACGGGUGAGUAACGCGUGGGUAACCUGCCUCAUACAGGGGGAUAACAGUUGGAAACGGCUGCUAAUACCGCAUAAGCGCACAGUACCGCAUGGUACCGUGUGAAAAACUCCGGUGGUAUGAGAUGGACCCGCGUCUGAUUAGCUGGUUGGCGGGGUAACGGCCUACCAAGGCGACGAUCAGUAGCCGACCUGAGAGGGUGACCGGCCACAUUGGGACUGAGACACGGCCCAG
rnacentral:rRNA from 1 species